UGAGGAAUAUUGGUCAAUGGGUGCAAGCCUGAACCAGCCAUCCCGCGUGAAGGACGACUGCCCUAUGGGUUGUAAACUUCUUUUGUAUAGGGAUAAACCUACCCUCGUGAGGGUAGCUGAAGGUACUAUACGAAUAAGCACCGGCUAACUCCGUGCCAGCAGCCGCGGUAAUACGGAGGGUGCAAGCGUUAUCCGGAUUUAUUGGGUUUAAAGGGUCCGUAGGCGGACUUAUAAGUCAGUGGUGAUAGCCUGUCGCUUAACGAUAGAACUGCCAUUGAUACUGUAAGUCUUGAGUAUAUUUGAGGUAGCUGGAAUAAGUAGUGUAGCGGUGAAAUGCAUAGAUAUUACUUAGAACACCAAUUGCGAAGGCAGGUUACCAAGAUAUAACUGACGCUGAGGGACGAAAGCGUGGGGAGCGAACA
rnacentral:rRNA from 1 species